rnacentral:rRNA from 1 species
AAAUUGAAGAGUUUGAUCAUGGCUCAGAUUGAACGCUGGCGGCAGGCCUAACACAUGCAAGUCGAACGGUAGCACAGAGAGCUUGCUCUCGGGUGACGAGUGGCGGACGGGUGAGUAAUGUCUGGGAAACUGCCUGAUGGAGGGGGAUAACUACUGGAAACGGUGGCUAAUACCGCAUAACGUCGCAAGACCAAAGAGGGGGACUUUCGGGCCUCUUGCCAUCAGAUGUGCCCAGAUGGGAUUAGCUAGUUGGUGAGGUAACGGCUCACCAAGGCGACGAUCCCUAGCUGGUCUGAGAGGAUGACCAGCCACACUGGAACUGAGACACGGUCCAGACUCCUACGGGAGGCAGCAGUGGGGAAUAUUGCACAAUGGGCGCAAGCCUGAUGCAGCCAUGCCGCGUGUAUGAAGAAGGCCUUCGGGUUGUAAAGUACUUUCAGCGGGGAGGAAGGUGUUGUGGUUAAUAACCGCAGCAAUUGACGUUACCCGCAGAAGA